rnacentral:lncRNA from 1 species
ACUCCCAAUAAAUAACAAGAUGAGACAAGUUAGGCUGCUGAGAGGCUGGCUUGCACUGGAGGUUCUCUUGGAGCCAUGAAUCACCUCUGAACCAGCAAGCCAGAAAGGUACCGAAACUGGGAACCGAUGUUCCUCUGGAACCAGCAUGAAAACUCCACAAAAUCCCUAGUUUGUCUCCACAGUGUUCUUAUUCCAAGUGUGCUGAGAGAAAAGGCCAGACAUGGAUACCUUAAUUUUGUAAAACAGAAAGAUAUCUCUGUUCAGCGUGUUGGUGUAACUGAGAUAAAUGCCAAGCUGGCUCCCUGCUGUGCGUGGUCCGACACCCCUUGGCCAUAGAGAUUCCAGCUAUUUAAGUUUGGAAAUGACAUUUCUUCACACGUCUUCCAAGAUAGCAAUGUAUGUCAAUCACCGGGAGCUCUGCCAAUGACAAUGCCAAUGGAUUUGAAUUUCCCAUUCAUGCUAGGGUGAAGGGGCUAUCUCUUUGACUUCUCCGACUGGGGCCUUUCAUCUCACCCAGGAAAGUUUAUUUCCCAAGGAAUUUUCUUUGUGGUCUCAAACUUGAAUGACCUUCCUUUUAUAACCUCUGAUAUCACCCAGGGUUUUAUUGCCAGGAAGUACCUCUUAGUUGACAUGCUUAAUACUGGGUUCCUGUGAUCUAUUCUAGGGAACCCCGAAACUUAGAGAGAAAACUGAGGAAAAUGAUCUGGUUUCCAGGUUUGGGAAUACCACUGAACCACUGACCCUUAAGGAUACAUGGAAAAAUAACCUGUAACAUUCAAAUUCUACAAAAUACAUUGUGUUCAUACAA